rnacentral:misc_RNA from 1 species
GAACUGCGAUAAGUAAUGUGAAUUGCAGAAUUCAGUGAAUCAUCGAGUCUUUGAACGCACAUUGCGCCCCCUGGCAUUCCGGGGGGCAUGCCUGUCCGAGCGUCAUUGCUGCCCUUCAAGCCCGGCUUGUGUGUUGGGUCGUCGUCCCCUCCGGGGGACGGGCCCGAAAGGCAGCGGCGGCACCGCGUCCGGUCCUCGAGCGUAUGGGGCUUUGUCACCCGCUCGAUAAGGACCGGCCGGGCGCCGGCCGGCGUCUCCAACCUUUUUUUCUCAGGUUGACCUCGGAUCAGGUAGGGAUACCCGCUGAACUUAAGC